UGCAUCGGCCGGGAAUCGAACCUGGGCCGCCCGCGUGGGAGGCGAGCAUUUUACCACUGAACCAUCGAUGC
rnacentral:tRNA from 1 species